UAUUAUUUUAGAUGUAAAGUAGUUAAACUUGAGUAGUAGUAGAUAAGGUCUUGAAACUUAAAGAAUUUGGCGGUAUUUUAGUCUAUUUAGAGGAAUCUGUCCCGUAAUCGAUAAUCCCCGUUGGACCUUACUUAAUUUAAUUUAAUAUGUAUACCGCCGUUGUUGAAAAUCUUUUUAGAGUAAAUUUUUUUAAAAUUUUUUAAAUAAUUUUUCAGGUCAAGGUGCAGUUUAUAAUUAAGUGGAGAUGGAUUACAAUAUUUUUAUUUAAUAUACGAAUUAUUACUUGGAAAUUAGUAAUAUAAAGGUGGAUUUAAUAGUAAUAUUAUGAAGAUUGUUAAUAUGAUUUUGGCUCUAAAAUAUGCACACAUCGCCCGUCGCUCUCGUUAUGUUUAAAGUGAG
rnacentral:rRNA from 1 species